rnacentral:misc_RNA from 1 species
CCAAUAGCGUAUAUUAAAGUUGUUGCAGUUAAAAAGCUCGUAGUUGAAUUUCGGGAUCAAUAUAUCGGUCGUGCCAUCGGUACGUACUGGUAUCAUUGGUUUCUCCUUUCUGACGAACCAUGAUGUCAUUAAUUUGGUGUUAUGGGAAGUUAGGACUGUUACUUUGAAAAAAUUAGAGUGUUUAAAGCAGGCUUUAGCUUGAAUACAUUAGCAUGGAAUAAUGAAAUAGGACGUUCGAACCUAUUUUGUUGGUUUCUAGGAUCAACGUAAUGAUUAAUAGGGAUAGUUGGGGGCAUUAGUAGUCAAUUGUCAGAGGUGAAAUUCUUGGAUUUAUUGAAGACUAACUACUGCGAAAGCAUUUGCCAAGGAUGUUUUCAUUAAUCAAGAACGAAAGUUAGGGGAUCGAAGACGAUCAGAUACCGUCGUAGUCUUAACCAUAAACUAUGCCGACUAGGGAUCGGAUGAUGUUAAUUUUUUAAUGACUCAUUCGGCGCCUUACG